ACAGGCACCGUCUGGCUGCUACGCAACGCGAGUCACCCCACGUACAGCAGCAUCGGAGAGUUUUUGGUGACACUGAUUAGUCGACUGCACGACUACUUGCGGGUCGACACUACGCGAAAAGAAGGGUUGCCGCGCGUUCCAUGAACCUAAGAGUGCUAGUUGAGAUGGUCCGUGGUCGGUCAGCGGCACCUCUGAAACUUCUUUUUAUUAGUUGUAUGGAUCACAGAUAAACUAAGUAGGAAUAAUGGCAAGCAACUCUUGCAAAGAGAUUCUUAAGCAGCUCUACAUACGACACUGAAUCAACGGUCGGGCACGGAAGGAAAAGAAGAUAAUCCUUUGCGCUACUGUCAUCGACGGAACAGUGAUAUUCAAAGGGCUAGUGACGUAACAACAGAGGAAUCGGACACCACUUGCAGGCAACAUGUACCCGAAAUAGGAGAGAGCCCAAUGUGUCCUCUGGUGCCUGGAGGCACAGUCACCAAAAACAGUCCAGAGAAAAUUCCAGAUUGACUUCUUGGGACUUCUACAGCGUAACAAUGACAUUGUCUGAUGGCUAAACGAAAUGCUAAAAAAUCCACCAUUAGAUCCAACAUAACCUUCUAAAUGCCACAUCAUAGAUUGUCAUACUCACUCUCAUAACUGCAGGUAACUGCUAGAUCUGC